UUGUGUUUCUAAAUACCUGUACUUGUAGGCAAACUCUUCUCACCAUACACUGGUGACCUGUGGUGUAAUAGUUUGGGCACAGGUGGAAGCAAAGGAUGUGAGAAAACAGUGGACAGAUUGGAAGCAAAUGUAGAAGUGAAAUUGGGAAAAUACAGUGGUGGAUUGAGUGCCUGUGGGAGAGAAGAGAGAAUGAGGUGACUUCUGGUUCCGGCCUGAAGAACCAGUUGGUGGCCGUUGAGAUCACUUUCUGGGAAGACUGGGAAGGAACAAGCUCAGACUACAGAAGAGAGUUCACUUUGGAGUUACUGAGAGACCUUAUGAAAGAAGUUGGGUAACUAGAAAUCGAGAUGAGCUCAAUGAAGGGGGAUUAAAAAUGCCAUGCCAAAGAAAGGAAGAACCAAACCAAGAAAAAUUUAUCUAAGCCAUAAGUGAAGAAUAUGCUCCACGUGCGGUAAAUUUCAGCGCAUAAGGCUAAGAUGCCAACAAUUAACGGGUGGUACGGUUAGCACGGCUGUUCUGGAGCAGCGGAAACGUAAAGAUGGAAGCAGGCUGUGAAUGUCCUGUGGCUGGGGCCAGGCCAACAGCUGGCUCGGAGGCCCCCACAGAACACCAGGAGGAGGCUUUGCUUCAGUGAAUUUGUCACAGUGAGCGAUCUGUCCCUGAGGUGGUCUAGGAUUGAAACUCUGAAGUUUUUGUCAAUUUAGAAGAAUGGACGCAUUUCUAAGCGACAGAUUUGGGUAAAUGAAGCUCACACAAUUGAUGUCUAAAAUUGGGUGCCAAUUUACUAAGUGUUAAUGGGAAAUACAAUUUUUCCACUAACCAGGGAACUAUAGUCCUAUGACCGGUCCAUUCUCCCUGCGUGGAUAAUUUAGUAUAAGAUAUUAAAUUAUAACCUGAAACUUGUUGGUUGAAUGUGAAAUCAGAACAA